rnacentral:lncRNA from 1 species
AUUUAUCUUUACAAUUUGGUGCUUUUAAGUGUAAUUGUGUAUAUGUUCAUAUGUUUGAAACUGAUUUCUUAAACCUGCUCUUUUUGAGAAACGAACAGUGAUAUUCGAAGAACUCAGUUUUAAUAGUGUUAGCAGAGCAAGAGUUCAAUCUAGUAAUCGCUCGGGCCUCGUAUUUGUGAAUGGUCGCGUCAUUUGUAAGGUGACUAAUUUUUCCUCCGCCUUUACUGUUUUGAAUAUAUAAAAAUCCGAUUUUAUUGCUGAUUUUUUUUUUCAAAUAUCAAACGAUAUUCUUUUCUCUCUGUUUGUCUACGUUUUGUGUAGAAUUUAAGUGCUUAAUUUCGUACUUUUCAAAAGAAAGUGCUAUGCAGUCUUUUCCAUGAUAUUGUGCAUAUUUUAUAAUAAUCUUUCCUAUUUUUGAUCAGGAAUUUUGAUGCUUUUGUAAUUAGGUUAAAACGAAAGCACAAGUACUUGUUGGGGAUCCAAAGAAAAAGAUUAUGUUCUGCCUAGAGAUUUGGUACUUUCAGAUUCUAAUUCUUAUUGUUGGUUUGCUUCCCAAUCUUGAAAUUGUAUUGGACUCUCUGUCUGUUUGAUAAGGCUAAAUUUCACCAAUCUCUUGUCUACUUCAAAAACCAUUUCAUGUUCUGAAAAAUUAAAAUAAUUAGUUAAUUAAUUAAUAUGCAGUGUCAUAGUCCUUGGAUGGGUAUUUAUGAUAUCUGUGGGUUUCAAUGCUGCUACAAGGUAUUUAUGAUAUACUUUAUUUUCCCUUUUUUCAUUUUCUAGUGGUUUGCUAAGUAUGGAAUUAAUUUUUGCUCUUAAUGAAUUAAAUUCAUUACUUUUAAUUAAUUUUAAUUUACAGAAAUUUCACCCAUUGUCAAGG